CAGCCGUAAACUAUGCGCGUUAGGUGUAUCGGUGACCACGAGUCACCGAGGUGCCGAAGGGAAACCGUGAAACGUGCCGCCUGGGAAGUACGGUCGCAAGGCUGAAACUUAAAGGAAUUGGCGGGGGAGCACAACAACGGGUGGAGCCUGCGGUUUAAUUGGACUCAACGCCGGACAACUCACCGGGAACGACAGCAAUAUGUAGGCCAGGCUGAAGACCUUGCCUGAAUCGCUGAGAGGUGGUGCAUGGCGUAGACGUGUCUGAGUCGGAG
rnacentral:rRNA from 1 species